rnacentral:rRNA from 1 species
GACGAACGCUGGCGGCGUGCUUAACACAUGCAAGUCGAACGGUGAAGCGAGUGCUUGCACUCGUGGAUCAGUUGCGAACGGGUGAGUAACACGUGAGUAACCUGCCCAUCACUCUGGGAUAAGCACUGGAAACGGUGUCUAAUACUGGAUACGACCAACCCUUGCAUGGGGUGUUGGUGGAAAGAUUUCUCGGUGAUGGAUGGACUCGCGGCCUAUCAGCUUGUUGGCGGGGUAAUGGCCCACCAAGGCGACGACGGGUAGCCGGCCUGAGAGGGUGACCGGCCACACUGGGACUGAGACACGGCCCAGACUCCUACGGGAGGCAGCAGUGGGGAAUAUUGCACAAUGGGCGAAAGCCUGAUGCAGCGACGCCGCGUGAGGGAUGACGGCCUUCGGGUUGUAAACCUCUUUCAGCAGGGAAGAAGCGAAAGUGACGGUACCUGCAGAAGAAGCACCGGCUAACUACGUG